rnacentral:siRNA from 1 species
CUGCUAACGUCGCAGGGUUUUUG